rnacentral:lncRNA from 10 species
CUGACAGUUUUAAGUUGUGGCGUGAUCAAAAGUCACAGCUGUGGUUAGGGAUAUUUAUACGUUGGGUAUUAGUAGGAUGGAAGUGAUGAAGGGAGAGAGGCCAAUUAGGCCAUGAUUGCUCUGAGGAUGGGAAGUACGUGAAUGUGGAAUCUUGGGGCAAUAGAACGGACAGAACGUAGUGUAGCAAAGCUUCUCUCCAUAACGUUCCUCUGGCCAAGUGAGAAACAUGAAGAUUAGAAGUGCAGCACAUGCCUUCUGAAGAAGCCAGGCAUGGAACAGUUCUGGGAACACAGCACUGAUAAAACUCUUAGGGAUGAAUUUACCUAUACCUGUGUUUCAGCCUUGUGAUCUGAUUCCACAGGAUGCGAGCAUAUGCAGUGGAAACAUUGUGUUAUUCCAUCCUCAGAAGAAAAGAGACAGUAUUAUACUUCGUCUCUUGCUAGUACAGGACCUCCAGUACAAUUUUCAGGAGAAGUGGCAAGAAUGGACAUCCACCUCCCACCAUGUGAUGACAUGGUAAGAAGGCCCUUGCCAGAUGCUGGCACAUUGAUACCAAACUUCCCAACCUCCAGAACUGUGAGCCAAUAUAUUUCUAGUCAUUAUAAAUUACCUAGUCUGCAGUUUUGUUAUAGCAGCACAGAACAAAGAAAUACAGAUCCUCCCUGACUUAAUGUUGAGGUUAUGUUCUAAUAAACUCAUUUUAACUUGAAAAUAUUUUAAGUUCAAAAUGCAUUUAAUAGAUCUAAACUACAGAACAUCAUAGCUUAGCCUAUCUUAAACAUGCUCAGAACACUUACAUUAGCCUACAGUUGGGCAAAAUCAUCUAACAUCAAGCCUAUUUUCUAAUAAAUCUUAAAUAAUUUUUAAAUAUUUCGUGUAAUUUAUUGAAUACUGUACUGAAAGUGAAAAACAGAAUGGUUGUGUAGGUUCUCACCAUUAAUUUACAGAGUUGAAAGUCCACUGGACUUGAAGCUUGAGACAUUAAACUAAAAUCUAUUGCUGGGUGAUAAGGAUGCUACAACAACUGGGUUAUCAAUUUCUUUCUCUUCUGAUGAAACUUCAGAAUAGUUGGUAGAAGGCACUGAGACACUGACAUAUUGAUUUAGCAGGCAUAGUGUUCUUCAGAAAGACAUCGAGUAUUGGUUAUUUAUCCUCAUGUUACAUAUUUUACAUCAUUUGUUACUUCUCCCAUAUUUCUGAUUAUUUUAAAAAUUUUUGUCAAAAAGAAAUGAUCAUCAGAUUUGAGAAGAUCUAUCUGCCCUUAAGUUCACUAACAUUUACCAUCUAUACUUUGUUAAGAUCAUACUGUAAACAUUUUUAUUCAUUUAUUAUACUUUUCAGUUCUAGCAUUUUCAAUUUUUGUUUUUUCACAGUUAACAUUUCUCUUUUGAAAUUUCCUCUCUGUUGACUCAUUAAAACCAUUUUUUUCCAUAUUUGGCCUGGUUUGGUUUUUCUGUUGCUCUGACAUUGUGGAGAAAUUGUUCCCAGGAAGAUAAUGUCAUCUCUGAAUAACGAUAUAUAGUCAAUUUUCAUGCUGCUGAUAAAGACACACCUGAAACUGGGUAAUCUAUCAAGAAAAAGAGGUUUAAUGGACUCACAGUUCCACAUGGCUGGGGCUGCCUCACAGUCAUGGCAGAAGGCAAUAGGCAAGUCUUACGUGGCGGCAGACAAGAGAAAAUGAGACCCAAGCGAAAGGGGAAACCCAUAAUAAAACCAUCAGAUCUUGUGAGACUUAAUUACUACCAUGAGAACAGUAUGGGAGAAACCACCCCCAUAAUUCGAUUAUCUCCCACCAGGUCUCUCCUACAACAUGUGGGAAUUUUGC